GUGCUCACUUUGGCAGCACAUAUACUAAGACUUAAAUGCCACAAGGAAGAUUAGCACAGCCCCUGGGCAAGGAUGGCACACAAAUUCAUAAAACGUUUCAUAUUUUU
ensembl:snRNA U6 U6 spliceosomal RNA